UCCUACGGGAGGCAGCAGUGGGGAAUAUUGGGCAAUGGAGGCAACUCUGACCCAGCAACGCCGCGUGAAGGAUGAAGGUUUUCGGAUUGUAAACUUCUGUCGUGAGAGACGAAGAAUGACGGUAUCUCGCAAGAAAGCCCCGGCUAACUACGUGCCAGCAGCCGCGGUAAUACGUAGGGGGCGAGCGUUAUCCGGAAUGACUGGGCGUAAAGGGAGUGUAGGCGGCCUUUUAAGUUAUGUGUGAAAGCCCACGGCUUAACCGUGGAACUGCACAUAAAACUGGAGGGCUGGAGUGCAGGAGAGGU
rnacentral:rRNA from 1 species